rnacentral:snoRNA from 1 species
AUGCAUCUCUGACAGCCCUGGAGCAGUUAAUGUCUGCUGCUAAGGUUUCCACUAUAGUGCAAGAAAAAGAAGUCUUCGUGCUCUCUGUCUGGUGGCAACCAAGACUGAAUGGGGGAAUACAGGA